AAAGUCCCCUUCGGGGGGCAAGUAGAGUGGCGCACGGGUGAGUAACACGUAGGUAAUCUACCUUUGGAUGGGGAAUAACAACCGGAAACGGUUGCUAAUACCGCAUAAUGCAGCGGCACCUAAUGGUGACAGUUGUUAAAGCGGGGGAUCGAAAGACCUCGCGUCUAAAGAGGAGCCUGCGGCGGAUUAGCUAGUUGGUAAGGUAAUGGCUUACCAAGGCGACGAUCCGUAACCGGCCUGAGAGGGCGGUCGGUCACACUGACACUGACAUACGGGUCAGACUCCUACGGGAGGCAGCAGUCGGGAAUUUUGGGCAAUGGGCGAAAGCCUGACCCAGCAACGCCGCGUGAAGGAUGAAAUCCCUCGGGAUGUAAACUUCGCAAGAACGGGAAGAAUAAGUAGGGGAUAAUACCCCCUAUGAUGACGGUACCGUUUGUAAGCUCCGGCUAACUCCGUGCCAGCAGCCGCGGUAAUACGGGGGGAGCAAGCGUUGUUCGGAUUUACUGGGCGUAAAGGGCGCGUAGGCGGCCAGCACAAGUCAGUUGUGAAAUCUCCGAGCUUAACUCGGAACGGUCAACUGAUACUGUGCGGCUAGAGUGCAGAAGGGGCAACUGGAAUUCUUGGUGUAGCGGUGAAAUGCGUAGAUAUCAAGAGGAACACCUGCGGCGAAGGCGGGUUGCUGGGCUGACACUGACGCUGAGGCGCGAAAGCUAGGGGAGCGAACGGGAUUAGAUACCCCGGUAGUCCUAGCCUUAAACGAUGAAUGCUUGGUGUCUGGGGUUAUAAAGUCCCCGGGUGCCGUCGCUAACGCUUUAAGCAUUCCGCCUGGGGAGUACGGUCGCAAGACUGAAACUC
rnacentral:rRNA from 1 species